AAUAGAUACCCCGGUAGUCCAUGCCGUAAACGGUGGGCGCUAGGUGUGGGGGUCUUCCACGACUUCUGUGCCGUAGCUAACGCAUUAAGCGCCCCGCCUGGGGAGUACGGCCGCAAGGCUAAAACUCAAAGGAAUUGACGGGGGCCCGCACAAGCGGCGGAGCAUGUGGAUUAAUUCGAUGCAACGCGAAGAACCUUACCUGGGCUUGACAUACGCCGGAUCGCCGCAGAGAUGUGGUUUCCCUUGUGGCCGGUGUACAGGUGGUGCAUGGUUGUCGUCAGCUCGUGUCGUGAGAUGUUGGGUUAAGUCCCGCAACGAGCGCAACCCUUGUCUUGUGUUGCCAGCACGUUAUGGUGGGGACUCGCGAGAGACUGCCGGGGUUAACUCGGAGGAAGGUGGGGAUGACGUCAAAUCAUCAUGCCCCUUAUGUCCAGGGCUUCACACAUGCUACAAUGGUCGGUACAGUGGGUUGCGAUGCCGUGAGGUGGAGCUAAUCCCUUAAAGCCGGUCUCAGUUCGGAUUGGAGU
rnacentral:rRNA from 1 species